GGGGAAUAUUGGACAAUGGGCGAAAGCCUGAUCCAGCAAUGCCGCGUGAGUGAUGAAGGCCUUAGGGUUGUAAAGCUCUUUUACCCGGGAAGAUAAUGACUGUACCGGGAGAAUAAGCCCCGGCUAACUCCGUGCCAGCAGCCGCGGUAAUACGAAGGGGGCUAGCGUUGUUCGGAAUUACUGGGCGUAAAGCGCGCGUAGGCGGCGAUCUUUGUCAGAGGUGAAAUCCCGAGGCUCAACUUCGGAAUUGCCUUUGAAACGGGAUUGCUUGAGUCCGAGAGAGGAUGGCGGAAUUCCUAGUGUAGAGGUGAAAUUCGUAGAUAUUAGGAAGAACACCGGUGGCGAAGGCGGCCAUCUGGCUCGGUACUGACGCUCAGGCGCGAAAGCGUGGGGAUCAAA
rnacentral:rRNA from 1 species